ensembl:lncRNA
CUGGCCUCUCAACACACGUGAACUUCUUGUAGAUUUGGAGAGGACAAGACGGUACACCUUAUUCUGGAGAGCAAUGGGAGCUCUUUAGUGGGGGGCAGUCUUAUUUGGAAAAAAAAACAAUGAAUUUGUAUCACAGAUGAGAUGUUGAUGCUGACAGGAUUACAACUUUUCUAUCAUGCAAUGCACACUCAGAUAUUUAAUAAUUACAUAAAUGAGGAGAAAACAUUUGGAAAAGUGGCUCUUGAGAUAUGAUUACUAUGACAAAACAGAAGAUCUGCAACAAAAACAGGGCUUUAUUUUAAGGGGAAAAAAUCCUUAGGAAAACAACAUCUUGAGCAGUGUCACUGCAGAGUACAAACUAUAUUAUCUUGUCAUAAUACAUUGUUUUGGUUGGGAUGAAUUUUAAUUGAAUAACAAACUAAAUUACAGCUUCAGAACAUGUGCUAGUGCUAAAGAGCUUGGAAUGUGGCACUUGAGAAAGCACCUUGAACGUGGACGUUCUGAUUGCUCUUGUUAAGAUGUAAAUGAUCACCAACCUCAAUGGCAGGUCAUCGUUUGGGGACUUACCCAUAUUAUACUGUUAUAAAUGACAAAUAGUAACACUACUGAAAGAAAUACACGUGCACGCACACAUCAGUUCCUCAGAAAAGGUGGUCCUCUGUAAGGAUAGCUAUGAUCUGAAUAAGCAGAACAAAAUCAAAUCAAGCUCUAGUUAGCUUUGCUUAAAUUGCAGCAUUGCUUUUUUCAUCUCUCACUUAUUUUGCUUUCCAUAAGCACGUAGCAAGUCAUGAUUAUGCUGGAGAAUUUGCACAUCAUUAGCACCAUUUACGAAGUCUUUUCAUGCUUCAUUGUCUUCGGUAAUUUUAAAACACAGGAUAUUUGUGAUGUUUGGUAUGGCACCUUCUGCAUUCAAGCUCAGAACAACCCUUCUCAUCAGAACCACACAGCACAAUCUGCUAUCACUGGUCAAAGCAUUCCAUGCGGCAGCAGGUGGAAAUGACGGGAAGCUGCCAGAGACGAGUCCCUCACAAGCACUUCCAUGUAUCUAGCUCUUGCACUUUACAGAGUAUCUGCUUUACUCUUAGGGUACAGGGCCAAAAGUACAGGGGCAUUUUAACAUCUCGUAUAGCUUCUUGUUUACUCCUUUAACAAGAUGAACUUACAGGAUAUUCAGUCCAUGUAACUGAAGUUUUGAGCAGGUACUGCGAUGACAGCUUUCAAUUGGAAUAUAAGCAUGUUGUGGCAGGACUUUCACUUCUGAAUAAUCAUUCCUCAUAAACAGUGAUUAAGUGUCAGGGCUCAUGACUAUUUCAGAAGCUUAUUACUUCUAUCAGCACAUAUAGUCCUAAGAUUUUUUCUUUCUUCUCAGCUGCUAAGAGGUAAGGCAAAAUUGAUUUGGAAAUAACUCACACAUAUUGAAAUUAAACACUAACAUGAAACACUUUAUUUGAGAAGCUUUAGGGACUUAUAACAUUUUGUUAUAGUCCUGUAUGAUCUGGGAAGGUUACAACAGAUAUUUCUGACAGAAUACUUUUGCACUAAGGCUAAAUUUCCUUUGCUAAUAGCAAUGCUGCAUCGCAGUUAAUAUAAAGAAGACUUAUCAAGGGCCUCUUUUCAUUGUUUCAGAACAGAUGCCAGUUUUCAUCGAGGUGUAUUCUUUUUAGUAUUUUCUCUCAUCUCACAUCGCCGUUUGCUGCGUAUUACAUUGUGGAAACCGCACUCAUAAAAGAAACAGGCGUGAAACGCCGGCAGAAAGCGAGAAACCAGCGAAACGCUCGACGUUCCCGAGCUGUCCCCAGCAUCCCCGGCUCUCUCGGAAGGAGGAGAAGGGGUCGCUGCGGCCUCCGGCUGCCCGCCGGAGUGCGCAGCCCGCGGGGCGCUGCAGCGGCGGGAGCGCCCGGGAGGGGGCGCCGCGCUUUUACCACAGAAGGCGGCCGGGCGGCUCGCUGUAGGCGAAGCCGGGCGCCGCUCUCCUCGGCUUGCAGCAGCGGCGUAGGACUUAAGGGAGCAAACCCCGCGCCCGCCUGAAAAUUCAAGCGAGGCAAUAAGCUACGUACGUCUAAGAGGCGCUUAAAGAUACAAGCAAGAUUUUACCUAAUGGCAGGGCUAUUUCGCGUGACUGAGCUUUAAUAUGCAACCGAAGACUUAAGAGAAGGAUGUGAAUAAUGGCAAAGAGGUCUAAGCUCCUCAGCUCCUCAAAACUGGAAAAUCCUAUUCCAGAUUUGUCAUGUUUGUGCUCGUAAGUCUGCUAGGAAAGUGAAGCUAGGAAAAAAGAGAAGGGUUUUGUUUUAAAGCAACUACAGCAUUGUCCACUGAAACAAAAGUGGGAUACCACUUAAUUUUAACACUUGGGUGUUAAAUUAAGCCCUCACAAGCACGUAUCAAGGUCCUACUCAAAUAAGUAGCAGCAAAGUCUACCCUGUAUCAAGUAAAAGAACUCUUGGAAACUUCAGUCUUCAUUCUCCAAAAUCAAUUAAUAUGUAUAUAAAUGAGACAGUGAACAGUAAAACACCUCCUAAUCAUAAAUAUCUCGUUAAAAUAAUGUGAUCUAUCUGUUCUUUCCCCCAUUUUUUUUUCUUGAGAUUCCCAAACUUAUGAAAGCUUCUUAAAUUUAUGAAAGCGUCUCUGUAUUUAAGAGUGUUAAGAGGCUAUUUUCUUGCAAGUUUACUCAGUAGAGCCAUUAAACUCCUGAUUUUUCUUCCACUACUCUAAGGAAAACUACUCUUAUCCUUUACAAUGCCAUACACACAGAAUCAGUUCCUCAUUUGCAGGCAAGUUAUUCAUUUUUUCCUACUUAGCGUCAAAGCAAUCAUGAUCAUUAGGCAACUCUAGAGUUAAAUAAAUGUGACCUAAAGUGCUCACAAGUUAGAAAUUAUUUUGACAGAGAUAUUCUAACUUCAAUAAGUGGAAAUUGAAGGACUGCACCUGAAAUAUUUCAAACAAACCUCAUUCUCCAAAUGCAAAUAUAUUAAAAACACAAAAGAAAAGGUAGAAAUACACUCAAAGUUAAAAUAUUUCCUAUCUCUGAAAUGCAUUUGAAUAAGACUGGCUAGUUGGCCAAAAGUCAAACAUACUAGUGCUCAUUGACAAUUAAUAAAUUAAAGAACAAUCUUAUGUUGAAAAAAAGAAACACAAAUAACAAUAUCAACAACAACACAUAUGAAUAACACAGUGAAUAUCUAGUUUUAGCUAGACAAAUAAAAAACAGUACUCUCUGAAAUAGUUUCACAUUUACCUAUUCCAGCUCUGCUCCUCUCUGCAGUGCACACAUGUAAGAUAUGAACUGCCUUGUUUAUGCACGUAUACCAAUAGUACCUCUACAGCACGCAGCCUCAGACAAGCCCACCUGCUAGGAAUUCCCCUAAGGACAGCACCGUGAAACAUAAGAAAAUUUGCAUCUAUUCAUAAAAGAUCACUUUACUUUAGAUGAAGCCCAUGUGGAAUGACUACAUGAGCCUGGGACAUUUUCAGACUUGAUACCUCAUUUCUCCAAAAUGCCAAGCCUAUGCAACUCCCUGAUCUCAGUAAGAUUACGCUGAAGAGAGAGCACCUCAUCGUUGGUCCCCCUGACAAAUCGACAAGCCUCUAUAGGGUAGUCUGUGCUAACCAGUCAUUACUGCCUGACACUGUUUCACUUCACUCAUCUUUCUACACCUCACGAAGCCUCUACUUCCCUCCAUCCUCUAAAAAGAGACAAAUAAGUCCCCAACCCUUUAGUAGAGAACUAUCUCACUUAUAAUUGCUGCUAUGACCUUACCUAUAUGAAAACAUAGUUCCUCUGGUACAUGACCAUCCUCUUCCUUGUCUGUGUUGCCUGAUGCUGUUCAACUUGCCAGAGACAGAAUGCUCCCUGGGCCAUGACGCAGUAAAAAAGCCAACGUCACUUUAUUAUCCUUUUGUAAAUACACUAUUACCACUACUAACGUGUUUGACACUUCACAUGCUUCUUGUAAUUAGCCACAAAUUUGGUCACUUGAAGCAGGGUGUUUCCUUAACCUUGCAAAUGAUUAAGGACCACAAGGGUAAACAGAAAGAGUCUUCCGCCUAUCUCACUACUCUGUUCUAGGUUCUCCUUCCCUCAGAUGAAACUUCAGUUUACCUGAGCAAGGGUAAACUGUUGUAAGGCAAUGUCAAUACUGCACAGCCAGCUUAUCGUGACUAGAGACAUUUUUUAACAGUGAGAAAAGAGAAGCAGCAUGAAAUGAAAUAUAAUUGCAAAUCCAUGUACCUUUAUCCCUGCUGGGUACAGUACCAGCAUCUUACAAGACACUGCAUAUGAUGACAGGAAAAAAGCAUGUUUCACAGUUUUUGUUUAAAUAUUGCAGAAUAGUAGAUAAGGUUAUCAGUAAAAUACAAAAAUUUCUACAACACCUUAUCAAAAUAAAGUCUUCAAGCUCAGAUCAUGAGGAGUUUGUCAGAGCUACAGGUGGGAGCUAGAACUCUCAACUGUCUUUUUCACCUUAAAAACUCGUGAAUGCAUCUUUCAUUACGAGUUGUUCCAGAUUUCAGAGAGUAUCUGAGAUCUUUCAGUAAAGAGAAGUAAAGGUAAGGGAGAAUGCAUGACAGAGUGAUGUUGAAAGAGAAGGGAAUGAGGCACAAUAGUUAGGCAUACAACCAGCUGAAAACCACUUUAGUCUGUACUACCUGCCAUAUAUUUUUAUUUUCCAAUUUUCACUUCCUUGCAGUAAGCACACUUAUUACCACUUGUUGGUUUUUUUUUUCUUUUUCUUUCUUUCUUUUUUUUUCCUUUCUUUCUAAGACCUUAUACAAAGGAAUUAGAGAGUUGGAGUCCUUUGAGGCACCCUCAGGACAUGAGAAGACUCUUUUCGCAAGGUUUGCAAACAGAAACAAUGAAAGAAAACACACAUGAAACUGAGAGCAUUCUAAUAAUCUUACCCCCAGUUCUCUGCUUAGCAUUCACUAUGUAUGUUUUGGAUUCUGGUCAGCAAUUAGCAUUUCUCCAGCUUUUGCACAUCUCUGUUUUUUUAAGACUACCAACACACAAGAAAGCAGCUUCCCACGACUGAGCAGAGUUUUUAUCCUAAGCUGUUGUACUGGUCCUUUAACUUUUUAUGACUCAUAGUUUAAGUAUUUGGGAAUUCCCCUCUAAAUAUGAGUUUGACACACUUGCAUUACGGAAAGUUAUUUUAUUCAAAAAGUAACAGAACGCAACAUUCAUGCAAUCCCCAGGUCUAUAUUUAGCAAUGCACAAUAAGUCUAUUUUUUUCUUCCAAAAAAGCCUUCAUACUGUUUGUAAUUAAAGACAGAUUGAAGGAAAAAAAGAGAGAAGGAGAAGAUUGAAUAGGAAAAAUAGUGGCAUUGAGAACAAUCAUAGUGUUAUACACCAAAGCAAACCAGGAGCUUUUUUUUUCUGAACUAUUCAAGCAAUGCUAGGCUAUAUGAACCCCCUGCCCUCCAGUUGCAUGUAAAAGCAUGCAGCUUAUCUCUUACCUGGUUGCUGAGGUAUCUUCUUGGUGGGCUGACCGGUCACUGUGGAUCACCUGACCAAAGCCUGGAAAAGAAGAGAAUAAGAUCAGCUGACCAUCAGUGCUGGCUAGCUUCAAGCUCAAGCACUGCUCUCCACAGCACUUUGUCAUGUGAGUCUGGACAGAACCAGCUGUCAUUGCUUCAGAAAAAGGGAAACGGGCCCCUCCGCUUCCACCUCCUUCCUUCCUCCUCUCUCACUCUUUCCUAUCUCUCUCUGCCUCCAGCCUCCUCCCUUUCUCAUUCUCCAGCCCCGCUCAUUCACUGACUGCCUAGUGGGGGUCUCCCAGGGGAAGCCACAUUCCACAACAUGCAAGCAUUUCCCCUGCAUCUUGAGGUUUCUCAACAGGCUGCCUACACACUUCUGCUGAAGAAAAAAAAAAAAAAGAAAAGAAAAAAAAGAAAAAAAAAAAAGAAGAAAAAAGAAUCAGAGAAACAGAGAAAAGGCACCACAUUCCACAGCCCUCAGUCAGCCCUGGCAGGCUAUGAGGCAUUUUCAGUCACACAGCACAAAAUGCAUUAGUCAGAGCUGAAAGACCACACACUUUGUACCACUACCAUGCUAACAGAGAAUGGUCUGAGCAGAGCUACAGGAAAAAGGAAAAGGAGGGGUUCCCAUCGGUGCUCCCAUUUUACACAGUGCACCCACCCAAACCCAGGGAUGUUUUGCGGGGAAAGGCCCCCAGGUGACACCCAGAGCAGAACCACAGUGUGUGCGGGCAGAGGGGACGGCUCUCUAUCCCCAGAGCACAACCUUCAUUGCCAGAACUCCCCCUCCAGCAGAAUGUGUUAUUCCAAAGACUGCAAGACAUUAUCUAAAUCAGAACUUCUAUCUCCCCAAUGGUUUGUUCGUAGGAAAUAGAAGCCUAGAAGAAGCGAAAGUAACACUGCAUGAUUCAGAUUCCCCUAAACCGCAUAUACUUUCAAUUCAAACUUUUCCCCUCUUCGAUACUCCCUAUAGUUCUGCCACUAUAUCCAUCUAUGGAGUUUUCUUUUCUCUACUGACGCAGUUUCAACCCCGCAUGUGUGCAGAGAAUCUGAUCAGCCAGGAAUGAGAAGAGAGCUCAGUGUAAAAAACCCUCAUUCCUAAUCCAAAUGACCUAAUCGUUCAUCUAUCUGCUCGCUGCUUCCGUUCCCCCUCUCCACACACACACACGCACACACACACACACACACACAUCUAUUGCCUGAAGACAUUUUAUGAGCACAUGUAUGGCUUAGGAGGAAACACUCCUUUUUGAAAUACGUUAUAGAGAGAGCGUGCGCUGUGCUUGCGCACGCUUGUGCCCAUUGAAACCAGUACCAAAGUCCCCAGCCCCAAAUUCCCCACUCCGCACAGGGACCGUCCCUAACCCUGCCAGACGCACCAGCUGAAGUCAGCACAAGAAAAGGGUAGGGAGGUGGGGGACAGGGAGGUGAGAACCCUGAACCAUUUGCACUGGAAUUUCUGUUUAGGAAAGUCCGUGCUUAAAUGAAAGACUGAUACUAGAUACCACAAAGAAACUUUUAUUUCUGUAUGCAUAUGACUCAUAUACAUUUUCUGUGUGGGUUAUGUGGGUUAUGUUAUGUUUCAUCUUAAAAAAAAUAUAUGUUUCAAGGAGAUUUUUAAACAUUAAUUUAAAGAAAAAUGUAAUAUGUUUAUGUACAGUGAUUGUUUUUAAUCUGCCUUUUAUUGCACAGCACUACAUAGAGCAAGUUCCCUAAUGCGUUAUUAUUGUACGGUUUGCAUUAAUAAACACAACAAUCAGCAGAAAUAUUUAUCCUAAAUAAUUUCCGUGAACAGCUCCCAGAAAAGUUUACUAACUGAGCCUUUUGGCAAAACAUACCUUCUUGGUUAUUUGGUUAUUUUCUCCUCCUUUUCUCACUUUCUUGAUUGUGAAAAUAUAUUUUCUCAAUACAUUACUGACAUAAAGGCAAUAUUUUAUGAAGCAAAUGGUAGCUGCUGCUGUGCAGUAUUUCAGCAGAGGAAGGCUAUCCAGAACAGCCUCCGAGACUGAACACUGUCGCCAUUAUAACAAAAGCAUUAAAAUGAAUAAUUCAUGAGCAGAGGGGCCGCUCUACUAUUAAAAGGCACCAACUAUUUCAUGAAUUGUCCAAAAGCUAUCCUUUCUACUGCACAGUUCCUCCAACUACUUUGUUACUCUUUAUUAUUCUUCACUUUUCUUAAAUAGCACAAAGCAAUAAUUAACAGAAACCAAAGGAUCUGUGUUAGGAGAUUUUCCACAGGAGUAAGACAUGAAAGCUGAAAGUGAGCCAGAAGGAAAACAAAUGUGUUUAUAUUUGAUGAUGGAUCUAUUAAAGGGUGGAGGAAACAGGACUUCAACAGACUUCUCUGAACUGCUCUUUCUGAUCAUGAAAAGGAAGAAUGCAGCAGUAUGUCCUUUGCCUUUAUUUGGGACCUUCCCUUUCAGGAUCCCAAAGCGUCGUGACAACACACUCAUGAAUUAAAAGGCCUCAUUAGUGAGCACUUGCAGAACUUACUCUUCUCCUGCUUACAGCUGCCGAACAUAAAGCCUUAAGAAGACCAAAUGAUUUUCUCCAGUUCACAGAGGAAGGCUUGGAGAGUGAGCUAAGAAUAGAGCUUCAUCUCCUGCUUAACAGUCCCAUGUCCAACAAAAAACUUCCUUGCUCUACACUAAUGAGUAGCACAGUGUUAAAUAAUUCUGCAGAUAGAAACCAGUUUUAGCACCCCCCAAACAAAACAAAACAACUGUGGUGCACAGGUAAUUUCUGCAGGGCUAGGGAAACAAUGUGAUCCACUAAUUCAACUUUACCCCAGAAUAAUUUACAAACUCAGGCUCAGAACAAACUUUUUAAAAGAACUGAGGUUAGAAUAGCAAAGUACAUCUAUACACGUAUCAAGUGCUGCAUGAAAAGCACGUACUGUGCCUGCAAAGAGAAUAUUUAUAAUAUAUAUUUUCAAACUUUAUAAGACUUACAGCUUGGUGAUGGGUGAAUGGUUGGACUGGGUGAUCUUACGGGUCUUUUCCAACCUUGGUGAUUCUAUGAUUACUAAAAACAGGUACACUAACAUCGAUAAACAACUAUUUCACUUGAACCAAAUCUAUUCCUUAAAAGAGAGAAAUUCAGGGAAUUGCAUGUCUAAGCAAUUUUGCCAGUGUGAUGCCAUUCUACAAUGUUGAGCAAAAUCCAUAAAAAAUAUCUUUACAUACACAAGUCCUAUUCUCCUUUUAGGUUUUCCUACUGUCUUACAGUAUUAGGAUGAAAUCAAAUCCCAAGUAUCUCACUGCAGUAAGUUUACUGAAUACAUGGAAGCAAGCCUACUGUAGUGGCACACAAAAACAUCUCCCCAAGAUAGAACAUAAUGGGUGGAAUGGUAACAGCAGGUGUAGUUUUGCAGGAACAGACACUCACUAGUAAACUUCCAAUACACUUAUUCUAAAUUAGUCAGCUUUCUUGCAGAGCCUUGGUAAGUAUUUCCCUGAGUGUUUAUUUCAAAAUUCUAAUUAUCAAAAGGGCCUUUUCUAAUACCAACAGCGUCUACUUGAAAAAAGAUGCUCUUCUGAUCUAGUAUUAGAUUUCUGUUGUGCCAAAAAUUUGUCCUUUGGUCAACUCAGAGCUGCUCCCACAGCAAGUCCUUACAGGAAUAAGGAAAUGAUCUUCAGCAAUUAGAACAAUCUGUACAGUUAAACAUAUUUUUAGUUUGCAGUCCCCAAGGAACUGUGGCAAAAACUGAACUACAAAAAAAAAAUUAAAAAAAAAAAAUUAAAAAACCCCACACUUGUCUGUUAGGUAUAAUUUAUACAGCCCAGCUUACAGUGAGCAGGUUCACUGCAACUAAUAAUUAUCUCAGUGCUAAUGACCAUUAACGGCUUGACAACUGUGGCAGAAAAUAAAGAGGACAAAAAAUCACAACAUGCUUAUGAAAACAAUUCAGAGUUUGUCUUCUUCAACACAGCCAUCUUGAAUCAAUACACAGGAAAAAUUUUCUGUUGAUGUAAACAUGUCUGUCCACCAAACCAGCAACCUCCACCAGGGAAUUCACACUACGGAGUCAGUAUCUAGCCAUAGGUGUUCUGGAAAUCAAAUAGAAUCAAAAAAAUAAUUUCAGAGAAAACAGUAUCGGAAGAGAAAGAUUGCCAGUGCUUCUAUCUGGAGAUAGGUGAAAACAAAACAAAACAAAAAAGCAAAGCAAAAAGCUUUUUUCAGUCUCAGUGUCCAUGAUCAGGACAAGAAUUCCAAGUGUAAGGAAGUUAAUUGGGAUUUUGGCACCUAGACAAUCAAUGAAAGCUGGAUGAGAAGAGACAGAAGUAGAAUUUAUUGUACACUUUGGUACAAUAAUAUUCAUCAAACUGGUACAUUGGUCAGUAUGCAUGACUGUCUCAAAACUACAUUAUGGCUCUAAACAAGAAUAAAUACAAUUAUUACCUUACCAUUACUUUGAUGUAUAAUCAAGUGCAAAAGAAGAGGUUAAAGAAAUCGGAGGGAAAAGAACUGUCCAACAACCAAAGAAUACUCCGUCUGAUCACAGUAUGCCUUAAAGUCACAUCAGACAAUACACACAAGUUUUUAUCUAGAAAGUUUUGGUAUUUGAAUUUUAAACCUUGCAUAAGGAAAAAGUGCUUUAUGAUAAGGGUGGUGAGGCACUGGCACAGGCUGCCCAGAGAGGUGGUGGAUGCCCCAUCCCUGGAGACAUCCAAGGUCAGGCAGGAGGGGCUCCGAGCAACCUGAUGUAGCUGUAAGUGUCCCUGUUCAUUGCAGGAGGGUUGGAGUGGAUGAUGUUUACUUGUCCCUUCCAACUCAAACCAUUCAAUGAUUCUAUUAGUUACUUCCAACUAUCUCAUAAUUUCUAAGAGUCUGUAAGUUGAGUAGACUGAUCUUCUGCUGUUGUGCUGGCAUACUAACUAUUGUUAGUAUGAGAAAGUAAGCCUUUAGACUAUGCAAUGCAGCAUAAACACAGCAACUAGUCAGAGGCCUUCCAAUACUACAGAGGGACAAUACAACCAUUAUUUAAGGCUCUUAAAAGAAAACUUAUAUACACCAAUACAUAAAUCAAUGUUAGAAAUUACAAAAAAAAUUAAAGGAAAUUUCAAGGGCUAAAACAGUGAAGGACAGCAGAAUGGUAGUUCCUACCAUCUUUAUAAUAAAAAAAUAUAGUGGAGGAGGUGUCUCACCACAACAACAAAACCAGAGAAUCACAGGAUAACUGAGGUCGGAAGGAACAUCUGGGUCCAUCUGGCCCACUCCCUGCUCCAGCAGGGAUACCCACAGCAAGGUGCCCAGGACCACAUUCAGGCAGCUUUUGGAGAUCUCUAGGAAGGAGAUUCCACAGCCUCUCUUGGAAAUCUGUACCAGUGCUCUGUUACUUGCAGUGCACAGAAGUGCUUUCUGAUAGUCACACAGAACCUCCUGCGUCCCAUUUUGUGCCCACUGUCUCUUGUCCUGGUACUGGGAAUCACUGAAAAGAGUCUGGCUCCUUCUUCCUUGUACCCUCCCUUCAGGUUUUCAUAGACAUGGUUGAGAUCCCCCCAAGCCUCCAUUUCCCCAAGCUGAAGAGUUUCAGCUCUCUCAGUCUUCUUCCCAUUCAAAGUGCUCCCUUACUGAUCUUUGUAGCCCUUUGCCAAGCUCUCCCCAGUAUGUCUCUCUUGUACGGGGGAGCCCAGAACUGGACCAAGCACUCCAGGGGUGGCCUCAUCAAUACUGAGUAAGAUCACCUCCCUCCACCUGCUGGCAGCAAUCCCCUUAAUGCAGCCCAAGAUAGUAUCAGCUUACUUGGCAGCAAAAGAGCAUUGUUGGCUUUCAUUCAAGUCUGUGUCUACCAGGACCCUCCAGAUCCUGUUCUGAAAUAGCUGCUUUCCAGCCAGUCGGGCCCCAGUAUGUACUAGUGCCAUGGGUUGUUCUUCUCUAGGUGCAGGACUUUGCACUUCUCCACGUAAGUCUUUCAGAUAUACAGGUUUCCCAAGAAGUUAUAACAAGAUGUGUAUUUUGACUAAGGUGCACACUGCUUUCAUUAACAUUAUUAUUUUUUUUACUUUUAGCCAUCAGGCUGGACUUCAUGAAGUAGGGCUUACUUUCCCUCCUUGACAGGAAAUCCUAGGUUCAGCACUCUUUCCUUCUUCUCAAAUACCAGAGAUAUUUCUUAGAGUAGAAAAGGUAAGAUUUUCAUGACACUUCAUUUUUAUAAUCUUGACACUGUCUGACACUAUCACAGUUUUUCAGAUUUUGGGAGAAAAAAAAAAUGUAAAACUUGUAUAUACUUAAAAGUAACAAUUUUCUUAGGAUAUGCGUUUUUAGGAUCAUUCUGUGGUGCCUUUAAACAGAGCAGAAGCAGCAACUGAUUCUGAUGAACUUGCAGCAUCAUAUUGCAGUCUCUGAAGUGUCAAAUUGCCAUAGGAAGAAGUUAAAGGAAGUAGAAAAUGUUUUCUUUUGGGCCUCAUUAUCAAACAAUUCACUGCUAAAUGGGCAAGCUAGGUAUAAAACGAAGAACUGCACUGAUAGAAAAAUUGUAACAAUAAAUUUUCUUCAGACUUUUUGGAUGCAAUUCUGUUGCCUCAGUACAAGUCUGUGUUACUGUCUGAAAUACCCUGUGUGUCACCUGGCUUCCUACAAGCAGCCCUCCAAAUUCCAAAAAGCUCAAGCUCUGCACCAGACCACCUAUGUGGGUGCUACAGCACCUCAAAAGAGCUAGACAAUUUCCUUUACAAUCCCAUCCUAAACAAUCCCAUCCUAAACACCCCAAAUGACAAAUGUGACUCUUGUUCAUGCCCGUACUUAAAUACAUUGUGUGAUAAGUGCGUAUAAAGCAACACUUCGUGUUGUGAAACAAAAAUAAAUUAGACCACAGAAGACAGAAGCCAAGAGUGACAGCACAUUCAAGCUCCAUGCUCCAAUUUCCAAACAACUUCCUCCUUUUCUCCUUACUGCAGUAAUCCUUUCCAUCAUAAAGGAGAACACAAUCUCUGUGUUCACUCGAGUGGAUACAUCUCCUGUACCAAAGCAAGAGCAAUAAACUAGGCACUAUAAUUUAACACGGAAAAGGGGCAUAUAUAGGCCAUCUUACUACUACAUAAACAGGGAAACUAACAAGGCAACCUAGUGUCUUCUCCUGUAGCACAUAGUUCAUUGAGAACCCUUCAAAUACUUACACGGCAAGCACAUCAGCCAAAACGUGACAGGGUCCUACAACUGCAGCUCAUACCACUAAUGAGAUUCUACAGAAUCUGUCCAACAAAAAUAAUUAUGUUGCCAAUGCUUGCAUUUUCCUCUCAUCUUACUCAGCGUCCUCCAAAUGUUCAAUUGUUUUUUCAUUCUUUACCUAUAUUUAUGACCUUUCUAAUUAAACAUAAGAAAGGUGAAAAGUAUCAUCACCAUCAACACUCUUUUUAAAACAAUAAAAAGCAGCUCCAGACCAACAGGUCUAAAAUAAAAAGACCAACUUGACCAUUUGGCUCAGACAGGCGCAGGGAUAUCAGAGUUCUGAACUGACUACUCAGGUACUAGAAGCAGGAUGAGUACACUGGCACAUAUUCUGCUUUCUCAAGAAGGUCAAUCAAGGAACAUGGUGUCACUGAUUACUGAUGUUUCUUUUGCAGUGUUAUCAUGGCACACUGGAGCUCCAGGCUCUUGGCAUUUUGAUCUUCUAUUUGACACACGGUACUAGUUUUGUGAUUGUGGCAUAAACGGAUAUCCUCAAAGCCUUCUUUGGGGCUUAAUGGCUAUUAUGUCACUUGCCUGCAAGUAAUCUCAUUUUGUUGUAGGUAACCACACAAACGAAAUAGGACAAAAAUAUCUUUCUCAUGUCUGAACUGUUCCUAUGCAAGUCACUGUUUGUUUCCUGUAUAUAAAAACAGGAAGACUAUUUGUCCCCUAUGUGUUUGCAAGAGCAUCUGCUCAGUAUUUCUUACCAUACUAGUGUUUUGUGAUGGAAUCUCAAACAAUGAUAAUAUUCAAAACGAAAAGGUUUGCAGUAGUUCCCAGUGGGAGAAGAGAAAAAGGGAGAUUUCAGGGGCUCCUCGUCUAUUUUCUUUCUCAGUUUUAGCUCGCCAGGAUUAUUCACAACAUCAAAAACUUACAAGCAUAAACAGAGACUGAUGAUGACCAGAAAUCAGCCACCACCAUCUCCACACUUGCUCUACCUAGCUUAUGGCUAGGUAUGCACAAGAACUUAUGGCUAGUUCUGCACAAGAACUACAACUGCUUUUAUCAGUGCUGUAUCUAAAUAUAUAUAUAUAUACAAUGACAACAACAACAAAAACAUGUUACAUAAUAUAUACAAAUAUUUUUUUAAGAAAUAAAUUAACGCUUCACGUUCUCUAGUCAUGGAGAAACUGCCAUGAAUUUUUGCCUCGAAAAAGUUUCAACAGCUUAAUUCAAAACCUUACCCUCUACGAAUGUGAGGCAUUAAUUAAAAUUCAAAUAGUUUGCUCACAGUUUUCAUGGCUAGAAGCCGAACCUUUUCAAUAGCAUGUCACUAGCUAAAUCAAGUCCUGUUUAAUUUAAGAAUCAGAGGAAAACAAAAGAAAGGGAGGAACCUUAGCAAACUGAAUGAAAGCCAGCUUUUAAGCAAGGUUGUAGAACAAGAACAGGGCAAGGAGAAUGCAAAGGAGUUUUCAGUCCCGUGGAGUGUAAAACUUGCUCAUGCUACUCUUCAAAUAUAAAGUUCAUUACACCUAAACAAUAAGACUGAAGACCACAAUUUGCAUGGAGAUUACCUCAAUUCCUUUCUAUAUCUGUCUUUCAGGUUGUUAUCAAGAUGGAGGUACACACGGAUUUGCCAAGUGCUAACAUUUUAGAACAUUUUAAAACAAUCUAAAUCAGGUAAAAUUUAUCCUGGCAUUUGUAUUCCUGUUUUUUUUUGUUGGUGGUGGUGUUUUUUUUGUGUGUGUGUGUGUGUGUGUGUUUUUAUUAAAUAAUUCAUGAGGCGAUAGGCAUACAAGUCUGUAAAAUACUGGUACAUCUAAAAAUGUAUGAUGUGCAGAAAACUGCCUUAGUGUGAAGCUGAACACUCAAAAGGCAUACGAGGCCAAGCUAAAGGACAUUUGUGCAGCCUUAAGUCCACCUUUCUUUAUGUUUUCACAUAGCAAGAUACAGUCUUCAGAUAUGGUUCAAAACCUAGAGCUUUUUCUUUUACAGGUCCAUCCCAUUCAGUACACAAGAUCAUUAGCUUUUCAUUCAACAAGCAAAAUGAUAUUUUGGUUUAUGCUGCUAUUCACUACAUGGCCAUAAACCGCUGUAUCCUAUUUCACUCCAACUCUGAGCGGCAAACUUCUUCAUAGGCUUGUAAUCACUGUUGGUACACUGUGAAAAUGACAUCCAUAAUAUUAAUGAGUACCAUCUUCCUAUCAAAAAAAAAAAAAAAAUAGAGGAAUGAUCUUCAUUUCAUACGUUGGGAGUUGUGGUGUAAAGAGAGUAAGGCUUAGAUAGACACGGUUAGCGGUGGUUACAUUUAACCUAUGGCAAAGAAAACAAGAAACAGUACUAGAUGACAUUAGCAGGCUAAAACUGUAAAUUGCAUCAGUUCAGCAGCUGAUUCAAAAAUACCUCAGCUCUCCUCACAGCAAGAUCCUGCAAAAGCUCUCAGCUCAGAGGAAAUCAUCUCUGAGCAAGCUGUCUCCAGCCAGGAGUCAGAGACCUUCAAAAUGCAGCUACUGCUGACCUCACUGAAGGGAAAAGACUGCUGAGCACUACCAGUAACUGAGCGCAGUCAAACACUCCCAAAACAGGGCGUAAACAAGUAGGGAAACCAGCUUUUCAGUAGUGGUGAGGAUGUCUCUCAGACCGCUAUGGCAGAAGCAGGCAUUGCAACCAGCUCUCCUGGGCAGCAUUUCAUUGCCCUUCUCUUAAGUCAUCCUUUCUUUCCGAGCUUUCCUCAUUCACCACUUAUCUUUCAAGGUCUGUGGCUGUCAAAUUUGAUUCAUCUCCUUACAAAUCCACCUGAUUUAGUGAGUGGAGGAAGAAGUCUUGUGGAAUAAAUAUUAUAUGAAUAUGUAACUAGAUCCUCUGCCACAGAUACAUAAUCAGAACUACAAUGAACUAAGAUAGCACUGCCAAAAUUCUGACUGUAGGUAAUUUUUUAGCAUCUGAUUUAUUACCCUAUUAUUCAACCUACUUUUAUUCAGUAUAUUUUUAAAGUCAUAAGAAAAAAUAUAGAACACUUUCAUAGGAAAGUGGCCUGAUCACAGCACAGACCUCAUGAGUACAUAUUACGGACUUCCAUUAUUUGCACCAUCAUUUGUUCCAUCAUUUGGAGGGACUAACUACUGCAGCAAGGCGAUCCCUUCUAUUUAAGCUAUCAUUUUGACAUUGGGUCAACUACAGAAAGCAGGCGGCAAACAACAAGAGACAGUAGCCCAUGCUCAGAAAUAUUUGGCUCUUCCAUGGCACAAAAAUGUAGUUGAUUUGCACACAACUUUUGACUCAUUUCCUCAAUCUUGAUGUUUCUGCUUUCAGAAGUUUUUGGCUGGUUUUUUUUUUUUUUUUUUUUUUUUUUUUUUUUUUUUGCCAUAGAAUAAUUGUUCUUCAUUUACUCUUAAGCUUCCAAGCACUGACUCUCACCACUGUAACAUUCUCCUACCUUCUUCUGUCACUCAUUCCAUUUCAGUCUCUAGUGCCUCAGGUUUCUAAAUCCCAGUUACCAUUCCUUUCUUGGAACUUCUUGUUUACACUUUCCAUUUACCUAUCCAAGGGACCUCAUCUCAUCUCCUCAGUUGAUCUCAUCAUAAUAGUUGCAUCUCCUUCAUCUCCUCCAUAUCACGUCUUUCUCCCAGACUUCUGAGUUUUUGUCUCACUGCCCUUAUACAGAGAAACUCCAGCUCCAGUAUACAGCAUCCGUCUGAAGCGUGCUGUCCCUGCUGUGUACUUCACACCGCAUCUUUUGUGUUCUCUGCAUACAAGUCUGGAAUUUUCUAACAAAGCUGUAAGAUUAUUUUAGAAAGGUUUGUUGUUCACAGUUGUGGUAGCCAGGGUCUGCACUACUAGAUGCUGCAGAUGAUUUCCAUGUUCAGGUACCCACCCACUUCCAAAUUUCAUAUCCCUAUCUCACAGCACAGGUAAAAGAGCACUAAAACUAUGGAAAACAAUAAAAAAUAGCUGAACAUUUUUCAUGCGGCAAUUUAAAUCCUCCGUCUUCUUACCUUCAAAGAAACAUGCCCAAAGUUAAGUUGUGACAUGGUCAAUUUGUAUGGUGUGAUGGACUUACGCUCCAACAGAGAGCAGGCUCCUGUGAGCAGAGAUAGUCUGUCCCUCACUCUUUCCAUCCUUUACCUCCUACAGUGAUCAGUUCUGCUCCGUGCUCUUCAGCAUGGACAAGGAACUAAACCGACACACUACAGAGGGUCAGGUGCAGACCUUCGGUGCCAUUGUGUAGCUCAUGAGUUUCGUCUUAUAUGUGCAGUCCCAUCAGACGUAUUCAGGUGAACCGAAAUGGUGGGCCUACAAACGCAGUUAAACCAGGCUGCCCUCUGAGGCUGAGAUUCAGAUGAUGGGGCAGAGUGUACUGGGCACAGUUCAGUGCACACAGUCCGGAUGCAUCAGACUGUACCUCUUUUUAUAAACAUCAGAGGGAAAGGAGAGGGUCUUCUCCAAGAUUGAAAUGGGAACGCUGAGCUUUGUUGUGGUUUUCUGCUUCUUUCUUUUCAGGAUAAAGCACAGAGAGCUAAUUGCAAUUAAGUACUAUAGGGUGUCUACUAUAAAAAAAGGAUGCCUGCUAGAUGACUUUUACAGUUCAUAUUUACAGCACUCCUUCAAGCAGAUUUUUAUUAUAUAUUACAAUUCUUACUGUAUUUUGCAAUCAAUUUGUAUUACACGUAGUUUUGCAAAAGGCAGUUAUAUUACAGUUUUUUAGUAUACUGAAAAGCUGUCAAGAGUUUACAUGAAUUAAAUUAUUUUGGUAUAAUUACACUUUUAUUCUUUUUAAAAGAACUCUCAAUCGACUUCACCAGAAGAAAAAGGUCUUUUUGUUUUAAAAACAAAGAGAUGGAGCCAAAAUAUGCAAGAUAUUGUGCUGGCAUUCCACUUUAAAAAAAAUAAAAGCUAAGGGUAUUUUCGUAACAAAGCUUCCACAAAUUAUUCCUAUGGUAAUUAAAUCCUUCUUUGCUGGAAACUAACAAAAUGCCAUUAAGACCACAAGACAAUUAUUAUCUUUCAGUCUUUUUGCUUUCUAUAUAAUACAGUAUUACCUAAGUUUCAGCGAUUCUUGCUGCGCUAUCCACCUCUCCUUUAAAGAAAAUACUCGGUAACCAUAGCAAUACUUUCCCACCCUGGUAUUAUUUCCUGCUGGCUUGUUCUAGGCUUCUGAACGUAGCAACCACAGCAAUCCUUGUUCCAAACUGUCAACUUCUUCUUGGCAACUCUUCGUAAAAUUAUUGUAUCUAAACUAUCAAGUACUCAGCCGUACAUUUUCAAAACAAAAUUAAUACAUGUGGUCUGAAUAAAUUGUAUUUCAAUUGUAACUACUGUAUGUGAUAUUCUCAUGUCACAAACACUAUCAUCUGGAAUAUCAACAUCUAUCUUAUGCCCUUAUUAUUUUCCACAGAGCAAUGCACCAGUUUGUCCUUUGAGAAAAAACAAUGAGCAGCUUUACAACACUUUGCUAUUAUUCACUGAACGUUCACACUUCAAAUCUAUCCCAGUCUUAACUGAAACCAUGUACAGGAAUAUCAGCCAUACCUUCUAUGCUUGACUAGCUGAGCUUUGGCAUCACAAACAACACAGGUUCUGCAAGACCUUCGUCAUACUCUUUAAUUUUUACAUCUAAGAACUCAUAUAGCCCAUAGAAAACCAGAUAUGCACAGGAUUUGAUGACUGUGCUAUGUAUGGCUGAUGAUAAUCAUGUUCAUAAGCAGUCAUACUAGCAUGAUUUACAUGUUCAGUUCUUUGCAGAAGAAAGCACAUUAGAAGUUCAAGUCAUACAGCCUUAGACUCAUCAUUUUAUUUCACUACUCUUCAUCCUGUAACACCAUUAACAUCCCAGCUUUCAGUGGAUUAUCAAUACUCUUUUUGAUCACUACUUUACUGUAGAAUCUACAACUGAAGAGAUUUUUUUUUCCCCAUAUGACAACAAACUCACACAACCACUUAAGCUAAUGGAGAUCAAUUCAGUUGAAUGUCUUUCUAACAGCAAUUUAAUUUGACACACAAUAAUUACAACAAGAGUACUAGUAUGCUUUGAGAUUUACCUGUGCUUUGAUACUAAUUGAAUUAGUUUUCAUAAGCUGAAUAGUAAAGUACAGAAGGUCAAUAUCAGUGAUGCAGAAGAAAGCACACUUGGAGGCAACAGCAGAUUAUAAAUAUAUUAAUGUAUUAUUGCUCAUUCUCUCUCCACCUACAUUCUCAUCCCACUAGAGUCAAUAUGGCUUUUGUCAUUGGUAUCUAUGUCACAAUUUUACCCCCACUCCCUAUUUGUUGAUACGAAUCACCCAGCAAUAUUCUCUCAGUAUGUUCUCUGCAGGGGUAGUUCCACAGGAAUAAAUACAUAUGCAUGUCAAGGACAGUUACAGAUCACCUACUGUGAGAGGAGCAUUUUGUUACAGUGACAAUGGAUGGAAUCAACCACAGGAUACGGGGUAAGUAUAUAUACACCUCCUAUAUGUUUCCGAUAUGUGUGUAUCUCUCCCUCUCCAUAUAUAAAUGGGGGAUUAUUUGUGCAUGUGUACAUAGAUACAUGUACAUAAACAUGAGACACGUGUGUAUAUAAAACACUGAAUUAUAUGUGGAAAAUGAGACAUAUAUAUAUAUAUCAAACAAAUACUCACAUGGUAUAAUAUAAUUAGUAAAAGCUGACUAAAAACCCUAAUAAAUAAGCAAUAAGGUUAUUCAUUAAGUCAGCAGCAGCUACCUAGGUUUUUCUGAGUCUGAAAAGUUACAAAAGAAAACAACAGUGAAAAACAAUUUUUAUAAAAAGAUUAUUCCAGAAGGAGAGGUAAAUGUACAGAUUACUAUUCCAUGCCUAAUGUUUUAAAUAUAUUGGGCUAAGGCAUAUCCUAGCUAAAUGAUGCAUCAGCUAUCCAUAAACAUGCAAUUUUUUCUACAAUUACCAGUCAGCUGGUGUUAAACAGUAGAGAAAUAUACCCUAAUGAGAUGGGCAAAUAUGGGAGUAUUGGAUCAUAUUCUCAAUGAGGAUUUUUUUACUUCAUUGUUGUGUGCUUAUUUAUUUUUGUUUUGUUUUUUAAUGCAAGGAGUUAAGCAUUCAUAGAUGAAGAGAACAACAACAACAAAAAAGUUUGGAGAAGAAAAGAAAUUAUGGUGAUAUAAUUACUUCUAUAAUAACUGCUACAGAAAGGAAAAGAAAGACAAAAAUAUAUAUACUAUGUCAUAUUGGUAUUUUGCCUAGCAGAGAUAUGCGUUUAAAAGUAAUCUUCUUAAAAUGUACUUAGUUAAGCCUUCAUUUUAAAGAAGAGAGGAAAAAUUGAAGCUACUGUUUCCCAUGAUUUAGCCAUGAUCACCAAACGAACAGAAGAAAUACAGAAAAGAAGUGGUAAUUUUGUCUCUAGAAAGCCUCAAAAUCGAGGUUGUCCUAACUAUCGGAGUAGAAAAGUGCUCUAUCACUGUGCAGUAAAAUACUAUGUUGUAAUUUAUCAACAAUUACGCUCUAUUUAUGGAAGGAUUUUCACAAAGAAUCUUUCAGCUGAAAAUCACAAAUCAUAAGCAAAAUGGAGACAACUUCAUGUCCUUUUUACCCAAACCAACAGUAAUAUAUUUACUAAAUUAUAAUUCAAACUGUAUUUUUAAUGUUGACUGUGAGUACCGUCAAAACCAACUACUACUUUCUUUGCUAAGUUUUAUGAGAAUACAGAACAAAACCCAACUCUACCUCACCAUGAACUUUGCAAAAGCAUUGACUUUGUCAGUUUGUUAACAAGUCCAUUUAUGUUUUAUUCUGAAAUAAUCAAAUAUAUUCUUCCUUGCUAUAAAAGCUGUUUUGUUUUGUAUGUACACACUUUGGUUUUCUCAUAUCCUGGAGACGCUGUAUUCUAGAAGUCACCAUCGUCAUGCAGAAAAGCACAGCAUUCUGCUGAGUCUUCAUCCGAUUUACAUAAGAAACUUAGAGGGAAUGAUGCCACUGAUAUUAAUUUUAAUUUUUGAAAUUAUAAUUUAGUCCAUAACCUAAGGAAAACGUGCUUUAGCCAAGCCACAAUGAAAUAACUUAAAAAACCUUCACACUAAUUCAAUGGCAAAAUAAAAAAGGAAACAAAUAUUUUUCUACUGGAAAGUCAAGUGAUAGCAAUGUGUUUCACUAUUUUCUUUCUCUUCAGGAUAGCUCAGGCUCACACGUAUUUAGCAAAAUUUCAAAAAAAUUUUGUUACUAUUUUAUGUACAUCUUCUGCCUGUUCUAUAGAUAAAUCCUUAAUUACACUCUUUAUUCCUUACAUUGCUUCCAUUUCAUGUCCUUUAUUCAUGGUUUUGCUUUUGUGAAAUUUCAAGUUUAUCCUCUUUUUGUAGAGGAUAACUGCCCUGAGGUGUACUGUCUUUUGGAAGUCAUGAACAUCUUAUCUUUAAAAUCUCUGUGUUUUAUUUUGAAACUGCCAAAUAGUAAUGAGGUAAAGACCUCAUUACAGUGACACUUAAGACACAAUUUAAAUGCUUCCCCACAAGUUAAAAAUGAGUAUUGUUUUGGUGCUAGUCUACUCAAAGGAAUUCUUUCCUUUGCAGGUUUCUGAGGUCUCAGAAGACUCUCUCCAGUCUGCUGCAACUGGAUCUUGCAUGCAGACAGCAAAUGAUUCACUAACCACUGAACAAAAAGGUGUCAAAGGAACCAAAACAAACUUGAGUUCUGUGACAUAUCUCAGGUAUUUGGGGAAAUUAGAGAAUAUUCUCUGCUUAUAAAUUCAUUCUUUUCAAAAUAAAUAAAUUGUUUGUAUCCCUUUUUCUUUUUUCUUUUUUCUUUUUUUUUUUUUUCCUGGGAAUGUGUGAACUGUCUCUUACCCAGUAUCACAUAUAAAUUAGCUUCAAAAGAAUCAAAAAACAAAUCUAAGUAGAAGCAAGACACAGUCAUCUUUGGACAUACACAUUAACCACUGUAGAUUCAACGUUCAUGUUAGAAUGUAUUAUCACACAGUAUCCGAGUUUAUCAAUCCUGGCCUCAAUUCAAAUAUGCAGCUAGAUGCCUUACUAAGUGCUCAGCUAAAUUGAGCCUUUACUACCAUUUAGAAGUAACUUAAUAUAGACGAGAACUAUAGAUUAACUGAUGUAUCUAUUGUCUUUUUGGUUUCAAACACUUCUAUUUAAGCACAUGGCUCUUUGGAGAAUAUGAAUUGUUUGGGGGGUGGGUGGGGAAAGGAGCAAUUCAAAUACAGAACCAUUCCAGACCUCAAGCUGCCUGAUUUUUCCACUCUCGUGUCACCUAUUCAAUAGUUCAGUUUCACUGCCUAUUACUCUCUAGAAAGGGUUGUGACUUACACUGAAUUUCUUACUGCUCAUCAACUAAAACUGGCUUUGAAGGACCACGUGACUGCUGGAGUUGAUUUGGAAAUCUGAAAAAUAAGACAUAAACCAGCAUUUUGGUAGUUGGUCACAGAAAUAAUAGCUUCAUAAAAGAAAACUGUGGUGCAGGCAGCAGUGACAGAACUCAGUUCUCUUUUGUACCACCUGAUGUCUUAGCCAUGAGACCCUCCUUUGUCCUUGUCCAAUGCCCUAUGUCAUUUCACACCUUCCCACUCUUGUGACAAGAAGAAAUUUAGAGAUGAGGUGUUCCCAAAGCACAGUGCAUGCACCAUUAGAUAAAUGAAGGCUGUCCGCAUAGCCCAGCACCUCCUCUGAAACACAUAGGAAGUUUGUAUGAAGACAGGAACCAUCGCCAUGCUGCUAGCUUACAAAAAGGGUAUAAAUCAGGGAAAUCCCUACUUCCAGCGUUUUUUUAAGGGAUGGCACCAAACAUACAUAGCCCCAGAGGCUGUUGCUGUCAUGAGUGCUGCUGCCCAGAGGAAGGGAGCUGCAGAUGGAGGCAGCCAGUGGAAACCUCUGAGAGAAGAGGGUUGCCUGGGACAGCUGAAUGACUUUGGCAGUUUUGCCCAAGCUCAGGAAUAUCUGUGAUAAUCUCCUGUCCUACAUAUCUCCUACUCAUACCAUAACACCACCAUUUUACCGCAGGCAUGUUUAUUCUGGGAAAACAACAAAACUUACCAUUUGAUAUAAGAUUUUGCACUAACACAUACUUCCAAGAAAGCAGAGCUGCAACCUCAAUUUUAGCACUUCUCAGUGCUGGUUGCCUGGUUCUGCCCCCUUAACAUUUUUUUGAAGUGCUUUCUGUACCUGCAGAAUUUCUUCAGUUUUCAAGGAAAGAAAAUAACCAAACAAGACAGUCAAAUUUAUUUUUGUGGCAACAUAUUGACAACUGCACAACUGAGGGACAGAGUCAGAGCAUUAACAUUCAGCUCUGCUUCUUGAGACAAUUGAGUAGCAACAGUUUGUGGGGUAGACCUUUUCCAGUGCACCAACUAGGUGAGAAAGAGGAAUCAAGGAAUCUAGUGUUACAGUCAGCGUACUGGAAAGCAGCAACAUCAAACAGCUAAUGACCUCCCCAAGCUAGCCCUCACCUACUUGACCCCUCACCAGUCAUCUUGGCCUCACUGUUAGUCCAUCUUAACUUUUCCCUUUCUUGUCAUUACAGCAAGUCUGACCUUAUUUCUUGCCUGUUUUGCUUCCUCUACAUGACACAUGCAUCAGAACUACAGCCCAUCUUCACUCACUCACCUUCUGCUGCAUGGUGCUCAGAAGCCUGCCAAGGGCAUGGCCUUACCCAUGCUUCUCAUGCUCCAGUUGAAAUCAAUGGGAUGUACUGGUGCAUUUAUGAUUAAACACGCUAACACACAAUAGUAUGCAAAGUACUCUCACUCUGUCUUUCUUCAACCUCACAUGUUUUUUUAAAUGGGAUAGGCUUAGCUCCCUUUACCUACUGCCCCUCUCUGCCAAUCAGGAGACACUUCCACAAGCAACUCCAUAUUCACAACAUACAAUGUGAGUUUUUUGAGGCAGAAUAGAAGAAACAACCUCUUCCAAGUGGUGCAUAGUGCAGUUUUGGAGUUAAGUUGAUUACAUCUACUAAUGACAAAAGAAAAUGACUUCACAUCCCAAAAGAAGAGAGAGCAUGGAACAAAAUGUAAUGCAAGAACAACACAACUGAAAACAAAAAGAAAGACAUGCCAUUUUUUCAUAACAAUGCAGAUGUUAAGAUAUUGAACAUAUUUUUAGCGCAUAUCAGGGAACACAAAAAAGAAAACAAAAAUUUUGGAAUAGCAGUCUUAAUCUACAUUGCUACCCUAUUUUUCACAAUAUAUACAACAGCGUGAUCCCCAUUUUUAUGAAUAUAAACACACAGCUCUGAAAGAGAUUUUCUUUUUUUUUCUUUUCCCCUCCAGGAAAAUAUCACAUUUUUUACUGUUUUUAAACACAUAAGAACUGUCUACAGAAUUUUACCUGGAGCACCCUUUCAUUUUCUUCUGUUUUUCUGCUUUCAGAGGUCUGAACACUCUUGUAGAUAGACCUCACCUCAGUCACAACAAUGCCUGAGAUUUCAUACUCCCACUCUAUUUUUAGUUUUGAUUUUUAGUAUGCUGCACCUUUGAGUCUCAAAAACUCAACUCUAUGCAGCCUUUGCAAAGAAAUACAACUGCUCCUCUUUUACUGCACAUGACUUGGCCUUCUGCAUACACAACAAUAGACUAUGCAGCACAAGAAUAUCCAUUAUACCAUGAAAGCAGUAUUGCAAUUCCAAAUAAUACCAAACUGUAAGGUCCUGUGCCUUGUUCAGUGCCAUUCCAUGCCAUCUUGUCUGAAUACACUCUGUGCAAUGGACGCUGCUGUUCAUUUGUCUUUGCCCUUUCCUGGCUCCCCAUGACAAGACCAUUCUUUUGCUUUGCAUCUCUGCUCCCUCUCUCCAAAGAGCCAAUAUGAAGCACAAAUGAAGCAGGUGUGUGGUUUUUCAACUCCCCUGUCAAACAGAAAGUAGUUUUCUAGGGUAAGCAAUUUGAUACUCUAGAGGGACAGAUGAUACGGUCCCACUAUUCCCACCCUGACUCGAUUCUUCAGCAUUCAACACUUUCUUAAGAACUUGUGCUCAUGAAUAUCUAGCAAACUGGUGUAGUUGAGGAGCACUAACAACUCCCCCACCCCAAAACUCCACCCCACACUCAAAAUAAUUGUAGUGAUGUGGUGCUGCCAAACAUCAUGAUGCCUCAGCCUGUGUUUGUCCUGUCAGAGCCAAAAAAUGUCACCCUCCAUUAGUACAUGGAGGCUGCACAUCUCAGAGACACAAAACCCACAUGAGCACAACAUAAUCUACAAAAAUCCUGCAUGUUCCCUACAAGCAUCAUACUUCUUAAAGAUACAUUACACAACAGCUUGUAUUAUCAUCUCCUCUCUGAGAAGACAACCACAAUGAAAGAGCAGUUAUUGCUUUAGUAAUACACACCACUUAUAGACAGCUUCGGUGAUUCCCAGCAAAAACUCACACAUGAAUAAAGAAUGGAACCACACAAAACAGAUUAUUCUGGUGACCACUACCCAUAUGCAGGCAUGGUGUUUCCCAGGGAACAAUUUGCAGAGUGACAACAAAGGUGCUGCCAGGAAAACUGGAGGAGUAACAGGCUGCUACCUCCACAGCUUGCCUUAAAGAAGCUUUUGGGAAAGAGGAUCACAUGAGAAGCUCUGUCAAGCCCCGUAUAGACCUCAGAAGCUGAGCAGCUCUAGCCUCAGGACAUUGGACAAGGACACAGAGUAAGAGACUUGUGUGAAAAGAGUCUUUAAUCUGAAGCACUAUAGUCCAGUUUCUGGGAGAACAGCCUAUUAAAGGGAACCUCCAGACACCAAGCUUUCUUAGUAGCUACCAAAGUUAACCAUUGUUCCAAAACAUAAGGGACUGAAGUGUUUUAAAUGUGAGGUGAGCAGCUCUCUGAUGAUCUCCACUUGUCAACUGUCCAAAACAGAUCAAUAAUUGCAACUUUAUUCAUGCAAAGGGCAACAUUUCAUCUCACAUAGUAUGGGAAGAAAUGCUGUCUGCAUCUCCCCCCAAAUUUGUGAGACAGCUCUUCUAGGACUUUGCAUAGCUAAGGUUCUCCGGUACUUCUACCACUGCCACUGACAUCAUCCAUGACACAGAGACAGCAGGACAUACUGGACUACUUAUACUAGAGAACGAGCUUUGAGAGGCCUAGGUUUAGCCUGCCUAGGUUUAAUUACAGACUACCAGACACAGGCAUCAGAAAGAUAGGAAAAGUUCAAGAAAGAAAGAUGAAGGACCUGCAGAAAAGAUGAAUGCCUGCUUUAAUUUAAACUGACACUGCAUUUCCAGAUCAUUUCAAUAAUCCAGAACACUGGAAGAGUUAUUUGAUUUGUAAGCAGCACUGAGCAGUUGAAAGGCUCAGUAAAGUGGUUCUAUAAGUACAGAGCAUAACCUAUGAAACCUUGGUUUAAUACAAGAUGCCACACACCAUGGUGUUACUUCAUAAGAAAUCAUCCCCGAACAUAGGUUAUAUACUCAAUGUGAAAAGAAGGUAUGAAACAUCGAAUGGGAUCAGGAAAUUUGAUCUCCCCACUCACACUCAGAAGACCAAUUAUUACAAGCCAUCGGGCAAAAUGGAGCCUAGAUGACAAGCAAGGCAGCUCUGAUCCCUUCAUCUUCUCCAGAUGAACCUGGCUUUGCAGUCACCCAGCCAGGCUAGUUCCUGCACUUUAGCCCUAGGGCACCCCAGACAAGUCUCUGUAGGGGCUGAAGGUCACACAAGAAAGUGACAGCAGUCUAUAUGGGUACCUUCUAGCUUAAGAAUAAAACAAAUCUAACUUAAUGGAAAGAAAGACAUUGACUGCAAAGGGGCAAACUGGGAACAGGGAUGUUUCCAAGUUCCCAACAAUUUCUAGAGUUUGGGGGAAAAAAAAAAGUAAAUUUGAUCUAUUUUUUUUUACCCCCAUGUAAGAGGAAAGUACAGCUCACUGACUGAAUUGCAAAGCAUAAUGUUGAAUGUAAGUAAGCAUCCAUGUAGACAAACUCAUUUUUACAUAAUUAUGAAAUCAAGGAGUUAAAGAACAUACAAUGUAAGCCUGUUCUCUUAAUUCUCAUUCAGCAUAAUCAUAUCUAAAGCUCAGAUACUCUCUACAAGAAGAGAGUAUCUCCAAUCAAGCCUGGUAUUCCCACAAACUCUUGACUGCAUAAACAAAUAACAAACAGUAAAGGCAAAAAAUAAUGUGAAUGUAAGGUCACACUUCUCUAAGAACACAGAAAGUCGGUGCAUGGAUCACAGUUACCCUCACAAAGGUUUUAGGUCACUGAAGAAAUUGUUUCACAUGUGCCUUGUAAUGGUACAGCAAACAAGAACACUCAACAGAAAUAAACUUGCCAGUCUUUAUUCUUCAAUGCAUGCUGAGGUCAAUACUAUGAAACAGACAUUGGAACUGAGUCCAGAAGAUGCCACAAAAAUUGGAGAAGACAUACUGAAAGCCUAUGUGAUUUAAGGGAUAAAGACCAAGUCUCUUCAAGUGUCUGUAUAAAUAUGUAUAAAUGAUCAAUAAGGGCAAGCAACUGCUAAAGCACAGUAGGAAACAAAGAGAUGGAUUCUCUGUCAUCCUCUUAAUUUUUUGAAGAUAUUGAGCACUGCAGAAUCAUCACAGAGCAAGUUUUGCGUCCUGUGGUAUGCUGAUGGGUUUUAAAAGAGCAUACAGACAUUUCUGACCUUGAAAACAAGAUUCUGAGGGCUGUCUCAGGUUUUUAGCUGAACACUGAAAUCAAAAGAAAAUAUUUAACAUUUAAAACAAAUCAUAUAUUUCCUAUUAAAAAGAAACCACUUUUCAAGACAAAACAUUAAGACUGGGAAAGCACAAGCAUUUCCAAAUGCCAGGUUACGGUGAUAAAAUUUCUUAGAAAUAAUUUAAUUUUCUAUGAAAUAUUUUGUGCUCAUUCUGUAAUUGGGGAAAAUUCAUGUGAAGAUCAGUCUCACCUCCUACCAAUUAUGACCAAAAUAUUGCCUUUUACUUCCCAUCAGUGACACACAAGCACUGGCAUUUUUAUUUCAAAAUUUGUAUGUGAGGACAAAAUGAACAUAUUAGUAAAAGGUUGUGGUUAGUUAGGUAAACUCCCCGUGGUAAAUUUAGUUAUUUCCUGAUCUCACAACUUAGUAAGACAGGAAAGUCUUUUGCCAGUCUCUGCCUUCUCAAUAUAUGGCAACUCAUUUCAAACCAAAAAGAGAUACAAAAAGCUCCCCUCUUGCAAUGAAGUAAUUAAUCACUGUCUGUUAACAUUCUUUCCUACUCUUGUAUCAUUUUUAAAGGAAUUCCCCAAGUCUUUUUUCUUUACCUAGACUUUGGGUAUAGCAUUAAGCAAAUUAUUAAUAUUAAAUAAACAAUUUAAUUCUCAGCCUCACAAAAUAAUGCUUCUCUGCAAAUCUUCAUGAACUUCCACACCACCCUCAGUCCUCUCCCCCAGCAUACGUGGAAAAAUUAACACAAAAUGAAAAUACAAAACAAAAAAUGAAAACAUAUAUGGAAAUGUAGAAAAAAAAGUAUGUAAAAGAAUACCGAAGUUGCAAAGUGCAAAUAUUAAACCCACUCAGACUGAAAACUGAAAAAUGCUGUGAAGUUAAUCAGCCUAUCAUUUGGGUUUCUGUGGGAAUUAAAUGGGAUACAAAUAACAUGAGAAGUGUUACAAACGUGAUCCUGGAAUUCAGCUUUAAAAAACGCAGACAAACAGAUCUAAGAUAAACUUUCUGAAUUAGCAAACCAAGAGAAUGUAAAGGAGCACCCCGCAAAUGCUACAUGCAUUGUUCAGUAUUUCUUAUUCUACAGUACGCAAUUUCAAAGCUGAGAUACUAAUUUAUACUAAAAUUCUCAGAACUUAUGCAUUGUGAAAGACUAUAUAACCUUAGUAUCAUCAAACCACUGAUACAGUAGUAGCCUGAAAGCAGACAGUAUGAAGGGAUGAGUAAGAUGGUCUCUGAGAUCUCAAUGGUAGCUCUGUUUCAGUAGCAUUCUCAACUUUUUCCAGAGCUAGAAUGAGGAUGGAGAUACGCUAUGAGAAUGGACCUACAUUAAAAUGAGCUCACUAGCAACAGGUUUGUAACAGUACCACACAAUAUUUUAGCCCCGUACCAUCUUCAGGAGACUGUUGAAUACAGGUUAGACAGAAAUACAGAUUUUGGCACGUCAAAGCAAGGUGGAUUUUUCAGCACUACAAUAAAAGGUAAUUUCUACAUUAUGAAGCCUAUGACAUCAGCUACCACCUACUUGCAGAGCAAAUAUAUGACAGUCACACUGAAAAAACUGCUAAACACAUGGAGUUCUUCAAUUUCCAGUAGUGACUACAAACUGAAACACAACUCAAGCACUAAAAUGCUUGUAGCCUGUGUUUUGUAUAAAGUACACACAGUUCGAGCCGACAUAAAUACAUACACUCUACAAACCAAUAAAAAGUCAUAAUUCUCAAGCAUUCAUUUUAUUUCUCCUCUCCUGAUACAUCUAACUUUCAUGGGCAGGGAAGUUCUUCUUCACCAGUGACCAUAAAAACCAGUUUUGCUGCAGCUUUAAGAACUAGAAAGCUGCCUGUGCUCUUCAUUUACAGGAAUGUGGAAACAAUAUAUGGGAUUAAUUCGGCUGGCAUCAUCUACAGAUGAUGCUUUCUCUGGAGUGCAAUUCAGAAAAAAAAAGCCUAACUUGGAAACUCAGAAUUGACCUAGAAACCCCAAUAAUUUUCCAUUAGCCAGAGAGGAAACACAGUCAGUGUUCCUGACUUACGUUAGUGGAAUCAAUUUUUUAGAGGAGGAUAAUAAUGAACACUUCAGUAAAACCACCUGGAGAGAGACUGAACCUUGGUAGCAACAAAAAAAAAAAAAAAAAAAAAAAAAGAGAGAGAGAGAGAAAGAAAUAAGAGUAAUUCAUUUAUUGAAAUAAAGAAGAGAAGCUUCCUCAUAAUAGUCUUGGAAUAAUACAUGCUGGCAAUGGAAAAGGUAAAAGAACAUUUGAGACUAGAGUAGGCAAGAGAAAUACCUACAAACUUCAACGCUAACACAGCAGCAUUUCAUUCAUGACAUAACCAAGAAAAGACAGAACUAUCACCCAAGGAAAGUCCUGUUCUACUUAAAAAACAUUCAGACUAAGAGAUGAAACUUUCUACCAGCUCUGUAUGAAACAGAAACAAAACAAACAAAUUUAAGGGUGAAAAUCCAUAGCAUUUUCUGAAUAAAAUAUUCCCUAGUUCAAAUUUGGACAAUUAGAUGGACAUAUUUUGACAGAGUGUGACCACUGCGGAAUAACAGGGAAAAAAACAACCCAGGAGAGCAGCUAACAGAUUUCAGAUGAAAAACUGGAAUCAUAUAUUAAGACUCACUUCACAAAACUUUUAAAGCAACAUUUUUCAUAUCCCAGUAUUUGGUCAUCGUACCUUGCCUGGUUCAUCUUUUCCAUUUUGAUUGUACUCCCUAGGCCUUUUGAUCAAUUUGUGCCGCAAUCUCAGACUACAUAAACCGUGAAGAACCUAAUGAACAUGAAAUGUGUGGAGGUAAAGAGAACCACACCUACCAUUGGACCUCUACUGCUACCAUCAACAUUUUUGCCUGAGUACCAGCAACCAUCAAGAUACCUAACGUUUGUGCAUUUGAUAACGGCUACAUGUUUUUCUUUCUUAAACUGCAUUAUUUAAACCAUAACACUUCCAAAAAGCCUCACAGCUAAGUUUUAUUUAAUUCUAACUCCCUAAGAAUUUUUCAGCUUCACAGCUUUGUAUCAUCCAUAGGCUUGAUCAGCUCUUCACUAUAUUCCAAGGUAUUACAUAAUUAAUGAGAAGUAAAUCAAAAGGAAAUUUCUAUGAGAUGCAACUUUUUUUCCUAACUUCAAUCAUUAAAAUGAAAUCAAAGUAAUUACUGAACCAGUCAUAAUUCAUGAAUAGCUCAGUAAAGUAUUUAAGCAAUUAAGUAAGUAGUCCAUUUGGCUUCAAAUUCAUAUGAGCUUUCUAAGAUUUGCUGAAUCAAGGACCUAACAGCUUCUUGGAAUGACUGCUACCUACUAAAUAUUUCCAAAUUCUUUAGUAAGUACCACUACCACUCUCCUCCAUGCCCCAGUUCUAUAAAUGCAAAGCAAUCCUUUUUCAGGUUGAAGUUUUUCAGGGUCUGCUUGUGACAAAACCAAACAACAACAGAAAAACGAAAAAAGGAGAUGGUUCAAAUUAAAAAAAAAAAAAAAGCCUAUUUUCACUGAAAAACAUUGUGAAAGAUUCACAAGAUCUUUCUGCAAGAAAUUCAUGACAUUAUUUUUUGGCUCCAUAGGACAAUACUGAAGCUCAAACUUGAAAGUUAGAAUUUUAAAUAGAAGAAUCUCUCAAUAGCAGAGCUGUGGUUUCCAUCCAAAAGAAACUGGUCCUGAUUUAACAAGUUUAAGAGCUCUGGAAACAAAACAUGAUAGAGCAAAUGAAAUAGAACUCUUUACAGAAACCACCAGGACUUCAAACCCUGAAGAGUCUUAUUUACAUGCUUAUCUUCUUUCACGUUAAUCAUGAUGUCCCACUUAACUUUAUGUGAGAAGUGAAUACCUCUAUGAUGGAAUUCACAAACUUUUGCAUGUUGGAGUCUAAGUAUGUAGCUAAAAAGUGACAUUUGGAAGAGUUCCAAAAAACACCUCUGACUUUAUACCAACGAGACGAGAUCUCCUCUCAACCGCUCAGCAAUUCAAAUAACUACUUUGAAUUCACAAAAUUACAUCUAAGUAGCAAUUUUUCUUUUUGUAAUGUUCACAUACAGACCAGAUUCAAAUAAAAAGGGAGUUUAUGGUUCUGGUUUUGGUCUCUACAUCCUCAGCAGCCAUAAUCUCUAGUGAUAAUGUAAAAAAAAAAAUUGAAAAAUACUCCUGCAAUUGUGGCAGAAACAGACAUGGAUUUGCACAAGAUCAUAUGGACAACGUUCAGCAGAUCUCGCAUUAUAGCUGGACACAGCUGUGGAUUACUGACAGCCUUGUGAAGUUAAAGUUAGGAACCAUAUGUCUGAUGAAACAGGAUGAGAAAACAUACUACCCCUGCACAGCUGCUGUCCCUGGGUACUGCACUUCCUUGACAGCCCACCUUACUGGCAUCGGUCCCAACACAGGAUGAAAGAGAAAUCUCCACUAAGACAUGCACUACUGUCCCUAAUUGAUGGCAGGUUGAUCCCCAACCAAUGGAAGCCAGAGUCACAGAGUUGAUAGAUGGUUUCCUUAUCUAAGUAAUGAGAAGAGCUAGGCAUCAGAAGAACAAUCUAAAAUGUCCAUGCAAAGCUGGAAACAAUCUAGGUCUAAGUGCCUAAAAACCAACCUCAAAUCUCAUCAUAGCUUUGACCCAGUACUAUAGUCUAGGGCCUUACUCCUGCCUGUCAUCCAGAACCCAAAACCACCUCCAGUUGCAGCAAGGAGGAUGGUGGUCUAUCUUCUCUGGUGAUGAGAGAUAAGACACAAGGAGACAUGCUCAAGAUGUGCCAGGGGAAGUUUAGACUGGAUAUCAGAAAGAAUUUCCUCAUGUAGGGAAACACAGACUGGCUUGAAUUGGAAAGAACCAUAAAGGACCUCACCUAGACCUGUCCCCCCAUGCUGUGGGCAGGGCUGUGAUCUAUCAGCUCAGAAUGCUCAGGGCCCCAUCCAAACUGGUCUUGAGCACCUCCAGGGAUGGGGCAUCCAGGGCUUCUCUGGGCAAUUUGUUCCAGUACCUCACCACCUUCUGAGUAAAAAUUUCCUCCUACUGUCUAAUCUAGAGAGAGGUGGCUAAGUGUUGGAGUGCGCUGCCCAGGGAAAUGGUAGAGUCCCCAUCCUGGAAGAUAUUUAAGAGAUGUGUAGGUAUGGCACUAAGAGAUACAGUUUAGUGGUAGGACUCUGUAGGUCAGGCUGAUGGUUGGGACUGAUGAUCUUGAAGGUCUUUUCCAACUUAAAUGGCUCUAUGAAUUGUACCUGUAUUCAUUGCUCCCACAGAUGAGCUAAACUCUCUUCAACUGGUCUGAAGGGAAAAAUGGGGAAGUAACUCAGCUGCUUCCCUGAUAGAACAACCUCUUGCCAGCAGCACAGUCACAAAAUAAGCCAACAUCUUUACCUAUGGUAACCUGCUCUUCUAGUUACCAUCUGUGGGUCAACAACCUUGUCUUUCAUACGCUCAACAGAAGCUGUACAGCAAAGAACUGGAUCACAGAAAAGUGAGAGCAAGUGUAGCCAUUACUGACCUCUUGGCUACAGCACUAAUACAGAGAAAUCAGAAGGUUCUUUUGUCUGCAGGUUUUUCCAGCAGUCUGUUCACAGGGUCAUUCUGUAUUAAACCAAGCGUGCAAGGGAAUUUGUAAGUUACUUAUAUGUAGUCUGAGAGAUCAGGAAGCAUUCAACAGAACAAUCCUGUUCAAAAGCAUCUUAACUGUACUCCACAGGCACUUUCACCUUUACAAAUUCCUAAUUUGAUAUGCAAAUGCCCACAUCAGAAAGUAACUGCAAUGACAUUGGUAAAGAAGUUGCCAGUACUGGCUUGGUCUCUGUUAUCAAUCAUACGCUCAUUUAUUUUGUGAGGUAAAAUAUGUUGAACCAAACAACCCUCAUAAGGCAUUUCUCACCAGAAAACUGAUGCAGCACAUUACCACUUUAGUUAGCCCAACCUUUUCUCACUGAACACGUGAAAUAAAAACAUCUUUGAACUUUCUAAAGUGGCCAGAUUUGAGUUAAUGUUAUGUCUACAUCUUUCAUACACUACUAAAUAUUCACUGGAAUAGAAGUUACCUGUGGGUAGAGAGAAGGAAAGAGGGAGAUGACAUUUAAAAGUUUCAGGAAACAAUGAGAUAAGUCAAAAUAAACAAUAAAGUAUAAUAUGUGGGCAUCUGGAUGAUGAUUAACAGUAAAACCACAAAGUAGGGCUGGGGGAAAAAGCAGAGAAAAAAAAUGUAAGAGAAGGCACAUCUAAAAGGACAAAAAGUGAUCUGCAAUAAUUUCAUCCCCUUAAACUUGCAGACUUGCAUUUCAGGAACCAGCAAGACGCAAGGCUGCAUAAGAUGAUGUCAGAAGUACAUCUAUCCCCAGCCACAGGGUUCAGCAGAGACCUGAUAAGCAGUUGUUUAGUUUUGCUUUGGGCUCUGGCUUCCAUUUUAUCUACAGUUUCCUAAGAGUUUACAGCUUCAUUUGUGAGCAACACAGUCUUUGUAUAACUGAAAUCUGAGUCAAGGACAGCAUGUGACUUUCAUUUUGACUUCAGAAUUAUUUUUAUUAUAGAGCGCACAACCACUUCAACUAUCACGAACAGCAAGAACUAUCCAGAUGAAAACUAACAAAUACAAUCAACUAUUUGAAAAGCAUUAAGGUAUAACUGCAGAGCCAAGCACCAUCCCCAAAACAAAAAAAGGAGAAAGAAUAAAAAGAAAAAAAGUAGAAAAACAUGAAGCCUAGCUGACAUUUAAAAGAAAAGAAUAAAGGUUUAGUGCAUAUGCAGAUGUUUCACCAUACUGAAUGAUGCAGCAUUCUCAGUCAUCUCAGAGGAGUUUGCAUCAGAAAAAUCCAACUGGAGUAGCUUCCAAAGAGCUGAUUUCAUGCAAUAAAAGAUGCACAGAAGUAUCUACUUCCUGAGAUAACAUUGGGAUCACGGGGAUGAAUCACAAGGUCAGAAAGGACCUACAAAAUCAUCUAGUCCAACUGGCCUCCCAUUACCACUACUACCACAAGCCACUAAACCAUAUCUUGUAGCUCCUCAGCCAGACACCUCUUGAACACUGCAAGGGAUGGUGACUCCACCACCUCCCUGGGCAGGCCAUUCCAGUGCCUACUGGAAUAAAUACUACUUGAGAGGUGAGCUUGGCUGGUGUGUUCUCUUAUCUGCUUAAGACCGUGCCUUACAUUUUAAAGUACAGUUUUAAAUUAUUUGGAAGUCUAACUCCCAGAGUACAGCACUAAUAAAAAUCUGUUUUAGGAUGUCUGGUCUUACUGCUGCACAAAUUCUCUUUUAAUGUCAGACUGCCACUGGUUCAGCAUCAUUACUUUAUUGCAUAAAUCAACAAAGAGAGGCAGAACUAAGAUUUUUUCUUAUAUUUUAUUUGUUUUGCAUCAUAUUCCGCUAUAGGAAAUCAAAAUAAACGUUAAAAAAAAAAAAAGACAGUUUGAAGUAUGCUUUGCUACUGUUAAAUAGAUAGAAAACUCCUAACUAGUGUUCAAGGAGAUAAUGAGAAAACUGAUUCUUCUCCCAUUGUUGAGAAACAAGAGUGUAUUAGGGUGUUUAAUGGGAUGCAUAACUAACCCCUUUAUCCAAAUAUGCUUUAUUACCCAGCAUUGGUAGUUCAAAAAAACUUCAUAUAAUCUCUCUGUGGGAUUUAAUCUGUUUGUUCCAUAAAAAUCUCUGAUUUUACUUUUCUUUUUUUAAGUCAUUUAUUCUUAUUUUUAACAUGGCUCAACCCUGUCAUGCAAGUAUAGAAAACAGCAGGACAACCUGAAUUUUAGGAAGUCUGAAAUAACCUUUUCUUCACUAAAGCUUUAAAAAUGGGCUUAGCUACUAUUGUCUUCCUAUGUAUUUUUAUUCUAGUAUCACUGGAAAAGAAAAAUGACCUACUAAAACAGCUAGAAAAAUUAGGUCUUGUGCUAACACACAGAAUAGCUGUAUGUAAAGGGAAACUUGAACUCAGUGAGACCAACAGUCUGCAUCUCCCUUGUUGAACUAUGGCCCAUGUGGACAGAGAAAAGCUCCUCUAGAGGAUAACGCAGAAUAGAAAAUGGCUUUGGGUGCCCCAUACCACCUACUGAAGAUGCUGUUUUGUUGUGACUGCCCACAGGAACCCAAAACAACCAAUCUUCCUUGGCUAAAGUCAGCCUUUGAAUAUACUCCAACACUCAUUCCCUAACUCCUUACAGCUCGUAGUACUCUGCUGGUUGUUCUUACAUAAGCUCAAAGGGCACAGCACUGGGAGACUUUUCUUCCCAGACUCAUCGUGUUAUUCUUUUUCCCCUAGUUCCAUUUGUCAUUUGAGUUGCAUGACUCAGUAAUUCCUCUGUAACUCCUACAUUCUUUUAAAAUUUAAAUGCAAUUUUCACAUUUAACAGUCAAGUUAUCCUUUGUUCUUAAUAACCUAUUUUCUCCAAGUCCUUAUUCACUGCAAUGUACCUUUAGCCCUUGAAUGUUUGGAUAAGGCAAAAACUUCGAUGUAAUCUCACCCUCUUAAUAGGAAAUGGGAAUUUAUCUUUCAUAUUUACCCCGUCCCCGGGGACUUCCAAGGUGAGGCUAAAUAAGGCCCUAGGCAACCUGAUCUAGCUGUGGUUUCUCUGUUCAUUGCAGGGGAGUUGGACUAGAUGGCCUUCAGAGGUCCCUUCCAACUCUAAAGAUUCUAUGAUUCUAUAUUUAUGAUUCAAAAAAUGUAUUUUUCCUUUUAAUAUAUAGAUAAGCAUUUUAUUAUGUAGGUAAACCUGCUUCCAGUUCUUCCAACUUAAACUUUAUUUUUCACAGUUAGGUUUUUAAUUCACUUGAUCUGAAGAUAAACUUCAAUAAGCACUCAGUAUACUUUAGGCAAGCACUGAAUAUUGGCACCUCAGAACAGAGGUAUUACAUUCAUCGUAUGGGCACUAAACUUGAAGUAUCAAUUUGGUACAAUGAGGACUAGUAGUCUUAAAAGAAAAGCAGUUAAGAAGUUAUUAGGCCCAAUAAAAUAAAGAAAAUGUCCCCAGUGUAUCAGGAGUGGCAUACAGUCAGUGUUUUCUUCAAGGGACUGCUAUCAGUCUUCGUUUUACAUACUAACCACCGUAUUCAGUCAAACCAAAGAUACACCUAUCCCCUACAUUGCAUCUUUCACAGAGGUUGGGAACAUAGGUCCAGGGAAACGCAUUCAAACAGGAAAAGCACCUCAGGAUCCUCCCUGCUCUCAAGAAACUGCGGCUUGCGCUCUUUUAAGCACAAAAUGGUGCUUUUGCACUGGAUGCCCAAAUUCAUCUGAACUUCUAGUGGUUCACAGUUAAACUACUCACUGCAAGAAAAAUACAACCUCUUGUUUUGUUCUCAAUCUGCCAAUUGAUAAUUUUAUUUUAUCCCCUCUGGGUCUCAUACUACAGGAGAUGGUUAAUGAGUAUACCCUACUCAUCUUUUCCAUUACACUCCUAUAUAAUGUUUAUCAUUUUCACCUUCAGCUGUUUCUUUGUCAAGCUGAAUAUUACUAAGCUAUUUAAUGGCUCCUUAUCAUCAUGCCAGCCAUUUCUACUUUUACUACGAAGCCCCUUUUUUUCUCCCCUUUCUUUAAAUACAGGGGAUCAGAACUGCAUGCAGAGGUCAAGAUAAAGCACAGGGUUUACAGACUGGCAAAGCAGUUUUAUGUUCUGUCACUCUGCUAUUCUCCCAUAGUAACUUAGAAAAGAAAAAAACAGUUCUGAAUAAUUACUUGGUGCUUGGAUUUACUGAGGCAAGCUCUCUACUCUUCUCCUACUAUUACUUCUUUAGUAGAUAAUAGUAGGAUUGCUGUCCUCUGCAUACAUUACUUCAUCCUACCAGUAUCAGCUUCAUCUACUGCUUCAUCCCUAGUUACCAAGUACCACAAGAUCCCUACUUGGUUCUUCAUAAUUGACUUUUAUUUUUGCUGUCUUCGCUAUGAGACCGUAUCAUUUAUUUCUAGUCUAUUUUUCAACUAGUUGUAAGUCUAGGAGAGGACUUUCCUCUUAUGUCAUAGCAGUUUCAUUUUGCUAAGCACCAUAGGUGAGUCUUUCUCAAAAAAACUUUUGGAAACCCAAGCUUACAGCAUCAGCUAGAUCACGCUUACUCACAAUGUCAGUGUUUUCGGAGAACCCAGACUGAUGAGGCAGCUCUACAAAGACAGUGCUGACUCUUUCCUGAUAGAACAAAUUUGCCCAUGGAUCCACUACGUCUCUUCUUCGUUAUAAUCAGCAGCAAAUUAGAUGGUAUGAACGUCAUACUUGUCCUGUUCUUUCCUGUAAGUUUCCUGGUAGCCUUCUUAAAAACAGACAUCACAUUUGCUGACCUCAGCUUCACUGGUACCAAAGCAAUACUGUGAGACUAAACAUCGCAGUCACCAGUUCAGCAUUUUACACUGGGAGAUAUACAGAUCUUUGGCAAAUUCAGUGCCCCAGCACAGCAAAUAUGAACAACUCACAUCAGUAACUCUGAUGCAGUGCAAUCUUCUUUGAGCGCUACAAAUCUCAGUCAUCUAUUGGCUCAAUGGCUCUUUCCUUUCCAAUGUUUUUAAAGAUGACUUCUGACAAGCUUCUUGACGUUUUAUAAAUCACAUAGACUUUCACUGCUUUUACUGUGCAUUUUGUUCUGAAUUCAGCCAAGUUUCACAUGUAUUACUUUUCUUGGAGGAGGCAAUGGCAGAAAUGACCAGACAACACAAGUUUUUGAAGGAUAUACAUUUCUUAUAGCCUAUUCUGCAGCUUAUCCAAGCUAAUUUUUUUUUUGUUUGUAAUUUUUUAAAGAGUCAGAGAAGAAGUUGCUACAGGAUAUUUACUUGUUCUGGAUCUCUGAUCAAUGACUUUUUUAAAUUGGCUGCAAGCAUCUUAUUCUUUUGGUUUGUCCUCUUACCAGGCUUUUUCAGACAUCCUAACGUGCAUUCUGCUAGCUUAUCUCUUGUACAUCUAUACCAUCAAUAACUUGCUUCAAAAAAUAAAAUGGAGAGACUAAAUACCUGGUUCUAGACUUCUAGGUGCUGCAUAGCAACUCUUCUAUUUUAAUCUGAUCAUCCCUCCUUCCAGACUCCUCUCUAUAUGAGACUGAAUUUGUUCAAGCACUUCUACACUGUUUCCUACAUCAUUCUUUGUCAACUUGUGUCCUACACGUAGCAAUGUUAAGGACUUCCAGACCCAGAGGCUGCAUCUUCUUGACCCAUAUGCUCUUUCCACUCAUCCUCAUGUAAGGUACUGAGAUAGUCUAGUCUUCUCUUGAUGUCAACCAGUUUGGCAUGCAGUUGGAAAGUUAUGAUGUGCUCCCUUCCAGCAUCAUAAAUCCACUUGCACUUCACUUAAGUGCACCUUCUUACCACAACAGGAAAUAUCCUACUAUCACUGAGGAUCAACACCAUGGAAGGACAUUCUUGAGAAAAAAGAAACCUGGCCAACACCUGAGAGAAAGAUCUCAUCUACAAAAUAUAAUUUCAGGAUCAUUUCUUCUUUAAAAUUUUGAUAUCCUUCUACAUUAAGAUACACUUGUAUAACAAGCCCAGAGGCAUCCAACCUAGAGAUAGCUGUAGGACUACAUGCCUGGAGCUUUAUUUCACACAUUUGCAAGCUAAGGAUACUUACUGUAUACAUGUUGUGACUUUCACAAGAGCCUCCUUAAGUUAUAAUAGCCUACAAUGGUAUCUUCCAGUGCUGUAACUAUAUCUUUGGUUUAACAGGUACUAACACCAAGAUUAAUAAAAUGCUACCCUUUUCUAACUGGAGAACUGGCAUCAGUCUCAUUAAUCUGAAUAGCCAAAGUGCCUAAGCUAGAUCUAGAUGGCCUCAGACAUACAAACAUUAACAAACAUUUCUGCUAAGAGUCAAGCAUAGAAUCAUAGAAUUGCUAAGGUUGGAAAAGACCCACAGGAUCAUCCAGUCCAACCAUUUGUUCACUCAUCACCAAUGGUUCUUGCUAAACUAUGUCCCUCAACACAACAUCCAAACGCUCUUUGAACACCUCCACGGUCGGUGACUCAACCAUCACUCUGGGCAGCCCAUUCCAGUGCCUGACCACCCUUUCAGAGAAGUAGUAUUUCCUAAUGUCCAGCCUGAAUCUUCCCUGGUGCAGCUUGAAGCCAUUAAGCCAUUGAAGCAAUGAUACUUCGUAGUCCAAUAGAUUAUACCCAUUGUUGUUUUAGUGUGAAAUGACUGAGUGCAUUGAGGGGCUUGCACAGUUUUAAGGCAACAACAUGCACAACCAGCCACAGCUUUCAGUUCAAAACAAUCACUGGACAGUUUUCUAAGAUGCAACAUUUGCAGUACCCUUAAUAAGAGUAGCACCUAUGAAUACAUCCUGCACGCAAUCAGAGAGUAUUCUGUGCUGGUUCUGCUGUUUUAGAUGUCAAAUUCAGGUUUCUUACAGAAAACUCUUCUUUCAGUUACAACUAAUACAAUAUAGCAGACUUGACAUGAUGCACACAAUUUUCAAGAACAAAAUAAGUCCUGAGAGUUUUUACACACACUGCUGUAUUUAUGGACAAAACAAUUAAACAUUUCAUUUUAUUGUUAAUGAUAGAUUGCACCAUACAGUAAAGAGAAAAAUAAUGAAUGAAUUCAGAAAAUAGGCCUGAUCUUUCAGUUGAUAGAAAAUUCUUCCCCUUUCCACCAUCAAAUUUAAUUUUAAAAAAAUGUAGUGCAAAUACAGUAGAUACUUCAUAAUCUCCAGUAAUGGCAGGGAAACUCAUCACAACUUGCUGAAUGCUAUGAAUCAUCUCAUGAACACAUAACUGCUACAGACUGUAGAAGGCACUUUAACAAGUAGUUUCAUUCAUUGAUGUCAAUACUUCCUAAUUAGCACAGAGAAGCGUCUGUAGAUUGAACUCUUGAGCAGCACGUUGCUUAGUUAACAGUUUUAUUUAAUAUUUUGGCAAACACUUGAUGUAAUGGGAGACCACAUUAAAAUUUUGUACCCGUAACAUUUUCAUUUUCUGUUCUCAACACAUCGGCACAAACUAAUGAACUCAGCAGUGUUUGACAAAGCCACAAGCAUAUGCUGACCUGUACUACAUCAGAAAAAAAAAUUUCAAAGCCUUUGUAAAUAGCCACAUUUAAGUUGGAUGAACUGCUUAGCUGUUUUGCUUAAUAAGUGAUAACAAUGAGAAUUACGUGGCCAUACAUGCCUUAGUUCUGCACACUUCAUCCACCCCAGCUAUGCCUAAGCGGGUCACCAUACAUAAGUAAGUGAUGAGCAACAUGAUGGUCAGUGAAAUAAACUGCCUGCAAAUGUGUUCUCACUUUGUACAAGGUGACUUGGUCAUCUGUGAACAUUUGUGGGAUCACCAUGUUCUCUCAGAAGCAAUUUAAAGGUUUAGACAGAAAGCCUUCCUAGAACCUAAAGAAAAACAAGAACAGCCAAAUGUAUUUAUAAACACAGUGGUGGUGGCACUUGGUCACUUCUUACCAGGAUAACUUCCCAUUCACAAGUUCCAAAAAACUCCUCAUGCUCCAGCUCUGAGUUCACCCCAUCCUCCGUGGCUUCCCAGGAAUCCUGGAAUGCAGACCCAUGGACUAAUUUCUACAGGCUGUGCACAAUGACGUAAGUGUACAAGACAAGCUUUGCUAUACUCUAAUAUUCUAAUUAACGAGAGAUCAUUUAAUCAGGUAGCCUAAUACUUCCCUUUUCUUAGAAGCAUGAGAGCUAAUCAUGGGCUCUUAUGUACUGCCUCUCCCUCCCCCCCCCCUCACCAGAUAUGAGCACUAUAAAGCAUCACACCCAGAUAAGUAUUUGAAAUGACACCUUUAUUUACAUCUUUAAUUCUCUUCAUGUUUUGUAUUCAGUGUUCAUAAAAAGAUACUAUAGGAGUGUUUCCAUGCCUAUAAUAUUUGACGUUUCUCCAUUUCAAGCAUAUUCAGGGAUGUAAUUACACUUAACUUUAUCAAUAUAAAAUCCAGGUAUUUAGAAGGAAAUUUACUCAACCCUCACACAACUCAAUCACACUCUGAUUCUUCAUAGUUAACAUACAUCAUGUCCAAGAAUCCCACCUCUCAUUGCAUAUUGCAUUGUAAUUAUUAUUUUUUUUUUUUUCCAUUUCAGUAAUCAGAUACAGCAUUUUCCUUAUCAAUUAGUGUAGCCACAGUAAGAGCUAAUUAUCCAAGAAUACUUAUUGUGCCAGGAAUACUGGGGGCACCGUAGGCAGUUGUAUGAAUCACUUCACAUACCUGUGGUUUUCCAGGUUCCUGUGCUUAGUCAUGAGUAUACUCUUCAUUCUCUCGUAUACAGAAUAUAAUUUCUGCCAAUUUUUGUUCUUGGCUUCUACACUGCCACCUGUAGUCAUACAAGAGAAAUUAGCCAUAUUUAAUGCUGCAAAUCCUAUUACCGCAACAUUUCAGCUCACUUGCCUUUCCGACACGACCAUUCUAAAGCAUUCCCCUUUGCAGAAAACAAAAGCGUUAAAAUCCUGGAAUUGAGUCAUUUGUCAUGUUCUCUUUACUCAGUUUCAGGAAGGGUGAGAAAUCCCAACGUAACCCAACAGAACAUUUCCAACUCUCCCAGACAAUUAAGAGCUGUACGGAUUUCUAUGUAUCCUUUGUUGCCUUACAGACACCCAAUCACCUCGAGAGAGCGGGGGGGAUUUCUGAAGUGGGAAUACAAACACAACUACACGUAGUUACUCGGUAAAUAUGAAAGUUGAUUUGAUUUGCUCUCCCAUCCGAAAAAUGAGCACAGUUUUACAGAGAUGCAAGCUUCACGCUUGCUUUAGCUGCCUCCACACAGCUUGUAAAGAACGCAUACAACAGAAGCUGAUCACAUCGCAGAGUUGAAGUGAUCUUCAACUUCUUAAAGCAACGAACGACCCUCGAUUCAUUCUGUGGUCACUGCAGUUUGAGCAACACGCCACGGAUUCCGCCGAAUUACACCCCGACACCAAAACCAAAUACACAGUACCCAGAACUCCCACGUUAACCAUUUCCUGAAGAUACAAUAAAAAAAAAAAAAAAAAAAAGAAAGAAAGAAAGAAAGAAACUCAACUCUUCCUGGAAAACAGUGAAGCUUUUAGAACAGGGGUUUCGCUGAAUACCGAAGUUUCGGAACGCAAUCUCCGGGGGAACGCGUGCGCGCGUACUCCCCGUUGUUCCAGCGAAGGAUGGCUCAUACGUUUUCUCUAGAAGCCACCGUGUGCGCACUGCCCAGCGGGGCUCCGGUUGGGAAAACGCUACCAAGUCCUUCGCAGACAGAAAGUAACUAACUUAGCUCCCCUCCCCGCGGCCGCGCGUGUGUGAGAAUGCCGCCGCCCGCGGACCUGCGCCCAUCGGGGAGCGCCCCGCACGCGGCGCUACGUCAGCCAAAGAAAGAAGAAAAAAAAAAAAAGCCCAUAAUAAUCAGAAAGCCGCAGACUGGAAUAGAAACCGAAAUCAAACGCGAUUUUCCAAGAACGCUCUCGCAAAGCGCAUCUUUAAAGAUGAGAUGCCCGUCAAUCGUCUAAAAUUAAAUAAACACGUUGAUUUCAAAUCAAUUAAUAAUGCCAAGCACCGUCGCCGCCUGCCUGUGCUCCAAAGCCUCGUCCCAGGAAAAAAUAUCAGCCAGAAACCAUAGAUGGGAGACCCAGAAGACGUUGCUGACUGUCAGUUGUUACAGGAAAAAUGGCACCCACUGACAUUCAUCAACUCUUGCUGAACGUUGAUGGAGACCAAAUAGUGGAUGUGAGCACAGUGAGUCAGUGGGUGGUGCACUUCAGCAGUUGUGACAGUGACAUGAAGACAAGCCACAUUCCAUAUGGCCAUGCACAGAGGUCACCCCAUGAAAUAAAGAGUGCCUUGGUCAGCUCAUCUGCACAAAUCAUCA